CCCAUGAGCGCGGGGACGCAGCGGCGUUACGGCGGGAGGUCCUGCGCCUCGAUUCAGGCCCACGGCCACGGCCACGGCCACGGGGAUCGUCAGGAUCGAUUUAGUUUUCCUUUUCUUUUUCUUUAUCAGCUUCUCCGCUUCCAGUCUGGAGACACCGUCCCAUGGAUUUGUCUUCAACGCGUCUGAAUGCUGCUCUGGUUACCUUUGCUCUGUCAGGUCUGUAAUCUCCAACCCCAAUGAGGGACAGCUGGUGCAGUUCCCCAAUGUCUUCAGGUGCUCCUUCACCCUCCUACUCUACAGCUGUCAAUACAGGAAGAUAGAGAGCGGCAGCGACAGGAUUUUUGCUCUCAUCAGAUGUAUUUUUUGGUGCCAAAUUUGACAAAGAGGAAUACAUAAAUAUGGUAACAUCUGUAGUACGUGCUCCUAAUUGAUCACAGAGAACAUUUCCCUCCAAAGAGAGCAUAAGCGAGAAUGAUUUGGUAUUCCGAAGUCUCCUAAUGGUUCCCUGGGGCUUAACAGUGGGCUACUCUCAGAUUCUUCCUCAGCUUUAGCUUUAAAUUGCAUUACAGCAAUGUCGGUUGUGGGGAUUUCCAUGUGUACUUGGCUAUGAUGCUCAAUAGAAUUGGAAAAACCUAUAUUUUGCGCUCCCUGAAGUAAUGGAGUCACUUCACUGGCUUCUCUCCCUGGAGUUGAUGUCUGAAGAGAAUGUUGUUCCUCAGUAGCCGUAUCAACACUUGCUGUGAUUUUCACCUGAUUGCAUUGAGCAGUAAAGGCUGCAGCUGCAGUGCUUUCUGUGACUUCCUUCUGAUAGUGAUUGGCUUCAAAGGUAAAAUAUGAAGAUCUAGUGUCUAUAUCUACUUUCUCAUGGUUGAUAUCAUCAGUAGAGAUUAGGACUACAUUCGAGCUAUCUCCCACCAACUGCAUACACUUUCUAAGAAUCUCACCAUUCUCAAGUUUCAAAACCUUGUAUUUUUCAAGCAGUAUCUGCUGAG